UACAGAGGGGGCAAGCGUUAUUCGGAAUUACUGGGCGUAAAGGGCGCGUAGGCGGCCUUCUAAGUCGAACGUGAAAUCCCCGGGCUCAACCCGGGAACUGCGUCCGAUACUGGAAGGCUUGAAUCCGGGAGAGGGAUGUGGAAUUCCAGGUGUAGCGGUGAAAUGCGUAGAUAUCUGGAGGAACACCGGUGGCGAAGGCGACAUCCUGGACCGGUAUUGACGCUGAGGCGCGAAAGCCAGGGGAGCAAACAGG
rnacentral:rRNA from 1 species